ensembl:lncRNA
CUGACUUGAAAUCCUGAGAGGCAGUGGGUUGAUGUGCUGGCUCCUAGCAGUGGCCCUCAGCCAGAUUGCAGGCUUAGCAGCGGGAGCAGGAAGAACAGAGGCCCCUCUAAUUUGCCCUGCUCAUACUGGAUGGCAGGCCCUGGGUGGAGCCUUCUUCCAAGUCUUCGAGUGGGUUGUAGCCUGGCAGUGUUGCUGCUGACAUAGACUGUCAUGUCCUGGCUGCCGUGGAGUUUGCCCUGGCUCAUGGCGUCUUGUGCUUUGGUGGUUGUGGUCUCUUGAAUUUCGGGGAAUCUGUCAGGUGGAUGAAGGCUGAUGGGGAGGGGUUGUGUGGUUGCAAGCCCAGAAGGUACUCAUGAGUCCUGGUUUUGGAAGGAAAGGAAGAGCCUCCUCAAUGCGAGGGGAUAAAGGAGCCUAAACCAGACUGGAUUUCAGAUUGACAGUCAGCCAUUGGAACCUCAUUUAGCCUCUGCAGAAGGCACCACUGGAAAGCAGACACAUCAGGAUAACUGGAGGUAGCAAAGGUGUUGACCUGUGUAGGAAUCGGUACUCUGGAGUCCUUUGGUUAUGUGGCACUUCUCAUAGACACCGAGGUCAUUCUUGCUGGCCUCCAGGUGGAAGGCAAUGGUGUCAAGAUGCUCUUCUGCUAUUCGGCUACUAGUGGCCUGUCUGGACUCUAGGCAAUGUCGAAGCCAGGUAGAACAUGGAUGGUGUUUGGAAGCCUCUGGAGCAAGUUGUGAUUCCUCCCGAGGGGCCUCUCUGGCGGCCAGCUUUGGAAACAAUGGCAGAAAUUCCCUUGAGGUGCAAGGCUGUAUGGAGUUUGGAACUGACUGCCUCAAACCUAUGCUCAUGUGCAGUGGAGUAUGCCCAAGAGACCCUGGAUUGCUGGGUUGCAUUUCUGGUCUUUGGCAGUCUGAGUGUGCACUUUCUCUUGGCAGAACUCAGCCUCCUUGAGUCUCCCCCUCAUAGGAGUUCUUGGGAUGGGAAACACCGAUGCAGUGUCCACAACCUCAGACCUAUUUCAGGGACCCUUGAGGAGUAAGGUGUGUCCCCUAAAGACAGAUGGUCCGAGACGGACAGCAUGCCUUGGAAAAAAGGCACAGAAACAGAAGGAGGUAUGGGAAAGAGAAACACACAUAGACAGGGACAGAGACAGAGACAGAGACAGAGACAGAGAUGUGGUGAAAUGGAGACAAACACAUAGAGAAGGAGAUUGUUAAACAAUGUCUGGCAGCCCUGCCAGGUCUUCUGUCACUUGGGAAGAAGGCCUAAGAGGAAACUUUGUCGUGGUCUGACCUGAAGCACCUCAGGUCUUUGGUAGGACAGAGUGUUGUAGAUUUCAGGAGCAUUGCCACAGUAAUAUAGAGGCCUGCCUGGUUUUGAGAUAGAGUUUGAAGGAGGAGGAGGACGAGGCCCAGGGGAAGGCCGACAAUGAGGAGAAUGAGGCAUGGAGAACAAGGCUACAGCUGAUGCUAGCUAGCUUUGAGAUGGAGAGAGCAAAUUGAGUUUGCACUGUCCAGUGACCCCAGGGGACAGGGUUUCCGGGCUGAGGUUUUCCUAGGGGGCCUUUAGGAUGUUUCUUGAAGAGUGUGCUCGCUGCUGUCGAGGUAUCUGGAUGUGUUGUGUUGCCAGAAACUUGUUGGUUGACUGCAGGGUAGGGCAAACAUCCUCUUACAGGCCAAGCAGGAGCUCUUGGGCCCUGGAGCGAACCCGGCCUACCUCUGACAAGCCAUGCUGGAGGUUUUGGGCAGAGCAGGAGUGGUGAGACAGCAGAAGUGAUCUGAUCAUCCC